rnacentral:rRNA from 1 species
ACUGCUCAGUAACACGUGGACAACCUGCCUUUAGGUUGGGUAUAAACCCGGGAAACUGGGUAUAAUACCCGAUAGGUCUCGAUUGCUGGAAUGCAUCGAGAUUUAAAGCUCCGGCGCCUAAGGAUGGGUCUGCGGCCUAUCAGGUAGUAGUGGGUGUAGCGUACCUACUAGCCUACGACGGGUACGGGUUGUGAGAGCAAGAGCCCGGAGAUGGAUUCUGAGACACGAAUCCAGGCCCUACGGGGUGCAGCAGGCGCGAAAACUUUACAAUGCUGGCAACAGCGAUAAGGGAACCUCGAGUGCCAGGUUACAAAUCUGGCUGUCGAGAUGCCUAAAAAGCAUUUCAUAGCAAGGGCCGGGCAAGACCGGUGCCAGCCGCCGCGGUAACACCGGCGGCUCGAGUGGUAACCGUUAUUAUUGGGUCUAAAGGGUCUGUAGCCGGCCGGAUAAGUCUCUUGAGAAAUCUGGCAGCUUAACUGUCAGGCUUUCAGGAGAUACUGUCUGGCUCGAGGCCGGGAGAGGUGAGAGGUACUUCAGGGGUAGGGGUGAAAUCUUGUAAUCCUUGAAGGACCACCAGUGGCGAAGGCGUCUCACCAGAACGGACCUGACGGCAAGGGACGAAAGCUAGGGGCACGAACCGGAUUAGAUACCCGGGUAGUCCUAGCCGUAAACGAUACUCGCUAGGUGUCGGCCACGGUGCGACCGUUGUCGGUGCCGUAGGGAAGCCGUGAAGCGAGCCACCUGGGAAGUACGGCCGCAAGGCUGAAACUUAAAGGAAUUGGCGGGGGAGCACCACAACGGGUGGAGCUUGCGGUUUAAUUGGAUUCAACGCCGGA